GGGUUGUGAGGUUAAGCGACUAAGCGUACACGGUGGAUGCCCUGGCAGUCAGAGGCGAUGAAGGACGUGCUAAUCUGCGAUAAGCGCCGGUAAGGUGAUAUGAACCGUUAUAACCGGCGAUUUCCGAAUGGGGAAACCCAGUGUGACUCGUCACACUAUCAUUAACUGAAUCCAUAGGUUAAUGAGGCGAACCGGGGGAACUGAAACAUCUAAGUACCCCGAGGAAAAGAAAUCAACCGAGAUUCCCCCAGUAGCGGCGAGCGAACGGGGAGGAGCCCAGAGCCUGAAUCAGCAUGUGUGUUAGUGGAAGCGUCUGGAAAGGCGCGCGAUACAGGGUGACAGCCCCGUACACAAAAGCGCAUAUGCUGUGAGCUCGAUGAGUAGGGCGGGACACGUGGUAUCCUGUCUGAAUAUGGGGGGACCAUCCUCCAAGGCUAAAUACUCCUGACUGACCGAUAGUGAACCAGUACCGUGAGGGAAAGGCGAAAAGAACCCCGGCGAGGGGAGUGAAAAAGAACCUGAAACCGUGUACGUACAAGCAGUGGGAGCCCCACCACUAAGCCAGUGGUGAACUCCACAUACGCAUCCUUUGCUGAGGAUACGGUUAACGGAGCGAAAGCGACGUUCAACCGCAAAAGAAGCAGAGGGGGCUUAGUGGUGGGGUGACUGCGUACCUUUUGUAUAAUGGGUCAGCGACUUAUAUUCUGUAGCAAGGUUAACCGAAUAGGGGAGCCGGAGGGAAACCGAGUCUUAAUUGGGCGUUAAGUUGCAGGGUAUAGACCCGAAACCCGGUGAUCUAGCCAUGGGCAGGUUGAAGGUUGGGUAACACUAACUGGAGGACCGAACCGACUAAUGUUGAAAAAUUAGCGGAUGACCUGUGGCUGGGGGUGAAAGGCCAAUCAAACCGGGAGAUAGCUGGUUCUCCCCGAAAGCUAUUUAGGUAGCGCCUCGUGAAUUCAUCUCCGGGGGUAGAGCACUGUUUCGGCUAGGGGGCCAUCCCGGCUUACCAACCCGAUGCAAACUGCGAAUACCGGAGAAUGUUAUCACGGGAGACACACGGCGGGUGCUAACGUCCGUCGUGAAGAGGGAAACAACCCAGACCGCCAGCUAAGGUCCCAAAGUCAUGGUUAAGUGGGAAACGAUGUGGGAAGGCCCAGACAGCCAGGAUGUUGGCUUAGAAGCAGCCAUCAUUUAAAGAAAGCGUAAUAGCUCACUGGUCGAGUCGGCCUGCGCGGAAGAUGUAACGGGGCUAAACCAUGCACCGAAGCUGCGGCAGCGACACUCAGGUGUUGUUGGGUAGGGGAGCGUUCUGUAAGCCUGCGAAGGUGGCCUGUGAGGGUUGCUGGAGGUAUCAGAAGUGCGAAUGCUGACAUAAGUAACGAUAAAGCGGGUGAAAAGCCCGCUCGCCGGAAGACCAAGGGUUCCUGUCCAACGUUAAUCGGGGCAGGGUGAGUCGACCCCUAAGGCGAGGCCGAAAGGCGUAGUCGAUGGGAAACGGGUUAAUAUUCCCGUACUUGGUGUUACUGCGAAGGGGGGACGGAGAAGGCUAUGUUGGCCGGGCGACGGUUGUCCCGGUUUAAGCGUGUAGGUGUGUGUUCCAGGUAAAUCCGGUUCACUUUAACACUGAGGCGUGAUGACGAGGCACUACGGUGCUGAAGCAACAAAUGCCCUGCUUCCAGGAAAAGCCUCUAAGCAUCAGGUAACAUCAAAUCGUACCCCAAACCGACACAGGUGGUCAGGUAGAGAAUACCAAGGCGCUUGAGAGAACUCGGGUGAAGGAACUAGGCAAAAUGGUGCCGUAACUUCGGGAGAAGGCACGCUGACACGUAGGUGAAGUGAUUUACUCAUGGAGCUGAAGUCAGUCGAAGAUACCAGCUGGCUGCAACUGUUUAUUAAAAACACAGCACUGUGCAAACACGAAAGUGGACGUAUACGGUGUGACGCCUGCCCGGUGCCGGAAGGUUAAUUGAUGGGGUCAGCGCAAGCGAAGCUCCUGAUCGAAGCCCCGGUAAACGGCGGCCGUAACUAUAACGGUCCUAAGGUAGCGAAAUUCCUUGUCGGGUAAGUUCCGACCUGCACGAAUGGCGUAAUGAUGGCCAGGCUGUCUCCACCCGAGACUCAGUGAAAUUGAACUCGCUGUGAAGAUGCAGUGUACCCGCGGCAAGACGGAAAGACCCCGUGAACCUUUACUAUAGCUUGACACUGAACAUUGAGCCUUGAUGUGUAGGAUAGGUGGGAGGCUUUGAAGUGUGGACGCCAGUCUGCAUGGAGCCGGCCUUGAAAUACCACCCUUUAAUGUUUGAUGUUCUAACGUGGACCCGUAAUCCGGGUUGCGGACAGUGUCUGGUGGGUAGUUUGACUGGGGCGGUCUCCUCCUAAAGAGUAACGGAGGAGCACGAAGGUUGGCUAAUCCUGGUCGGACAUCAGGAGGUUAGUGCAAUGGCAUAAGCCAGCUUGACUGCGAGCGUGACGGCGCGAGCAGGUGCGAAAGCAGGUCAUAGUGAUCCGGUGGUUCUGAAUGGAAGGGCCAUCGCUCAACGGAUAAAAGGUACUCCGGGGAUAACAGGCUGAUACCGCCCAAGAGUUCAUAUCGACGGCGGUGUUUGGCACCUCGAUGUCGGCUCAUCACAUCCUGGGGCUGAAGUAGGUCCCAAGGGUAUGGCUGUUCGCCAUUUAAAGUGGUACGCGAGCUGGGUUUAGAACGUCGUGAGACAGUUCGGUCCCUAUCUGCCGUGGGCGCUGGAGAACUGAGGGGGGCUGCUCCUAGUACGAGAGGACCGGAGUGGACGCAUCACUGGUGUUCGGGUUGUCAUGCCAAUGGCACUGCCCGGUAGCUAAAUGCGGAAGAGAUAAGUGCUGAAAGCAUCUAAGCACGAAACUUGCCCCGAGAUGAGUUCUCCCUGAGACUUUAGGUCUCCUGAAGGAACGUUGAAGACGACGACGUUGAUAGGCCGGGUGUGUAAGCGCAGCGAUGCGUUGAGCUAACCGGUACUAAUGAACCGUGAGGCUUAACCUUACAACGCCGAAG
rnacentral:rRNA from 1 species